AAGGGCUGGAGCCAGGACUCACCCCUUCCCACACCUCAUUUAAGGGUUGGCAGUGGGGGCAAAGGCAUUUUGCUGGAGCUCUCUGUGUACCUGAGGCGUUCUGAAGUUCAGUUCAGCAAGGCUGGCAGCUGGCUAUUCACUUACUCAGACACUCACAAGUGCACCGAGCCCAGCACCACUUGGAGAUGACCCACUUCUGCGCUGUGUCAUUCUUCAUUCCUCAAGGUCACCCAGAGAUUGCUUUUGACAGAGGUCUAUACAGCCCAUUAAAAAAAAAUCAACUGAAUACAGACAGUACUUGGAUUUCCACAUGCACCAUGCCACGAGCUCAUCUUUGGGAGGCUGUGGGAAAGAUUGUUUAAAAGAAUAAUGUUCAAGGAGUUUUAUUGUUUAUUUGUACUGCCUUUCUGCAGUAUUUAUAAGUCUUAUUCUGCUAUUUGUUCUUCUUAUUGGUGAUUCUAAGGAUAUUUUGUACCUUGUGCACAUUUUUUUUAAAUUAAAAUUCUGGGGGUAAAUGUUACUCUCAGCUAUUUUGGAGUAAAGCCAGAAUUAAUGCUGUCAUGUAGCUUUCUUCAUUUUUGUAAUGCUUUAUAUCAAUGCUUUGAGCCAGAGUCCCUGCAUAACGUGGAAUUGAAAUUCUAAACAAAAAAUAUUUCAGUGAAAUGUUUUUCCUCUUUUUUCUGGUUAGUCAAAAUAACAUAUUUCACAGGAAAACAAGUUCUGAUCAUUCUGUUUGUGAAAAAUUCAAAAUGGAUUACACUGCUCUAAAAUGUAAAUCCCUGAAACCUGAAUGACACAUUUCAACUACCCACAAAUCACAUACUCUUUCCCAACAAACUUUUCUAGUUUUGUUUUCUUCAUUACAAAAAACUGUCAAAAGCUUAGGGUGACACCUACAACAGAAAAUCAGACUGCUGCCCACCCCUACUAAUUUCUAUAACAGUCUUUAGCUAUAAGGAGGAAAAAUGAAGCAUUAGGCAUAAAGCUGUUUCAGUGACAAGAUGCAUCUGAAUUUCUGUUUUCUGAUGAAUAAGAGUAUCUUUGAUUUUUGCCUUUGCUGCUUUCCAGUUCUCUGACAGUUGUUUCUUUGUUUUCUUCAGCCCCAGCAAAUAUACAAUCUCUCUUGAUUUAAAAACUGCAAAUACUUUUCUGUGUAUAUGUGACUGUGUGCACACAUGCUAUGUCAUUUCUUUGUGUGGUAGCAAUUAAGAGCAUGUACAUAUCAAGGCUUAUGUUUUCAUCUGGCCGUGCCUUAAAAUAUAUUUAUAA